rnacentral:rRNA from 1 species
UACGAAGGGGGCUAGCGUUGUCCGGAAUUAUUGGGCGUAAAGCGCGCGCAGGCGGUCCCUUAAGUCUGAUGUGAAAGCCCACGGCUCAACCGUGGAGGGUCAUUGGAAACUGGGGGACUUGAGUGCAGAAGAGGAAAGUGGAAUUCCACGUGUAGCGGUGAAAUGCGUAGAGAUGUGGAGGAACACCAGUGGCGAAGGCGACUUUCUGGUCUGUAACUGACGCUGAGGCGCGAAAGCGUGGGGAGCAAACAGG